rnacentral:rRNA from 1 species
AGAGAAUAGAUACCCUGGUAGUCCACGCCGUAAACGAUGGAUACUAGGUGUCGGGAGUUCUUACCCUCCCGGUGCCGUCGCUAAACGCAUUAAGUAUCCCGCCUGGGGAAUACGGUCGCAAGAUUAAAACUCAAAGAAAUUGACGGGGGCCCGCACAAGCGGUGGAGUAUGUGGUUUAAUUCGAUGCAACGCGAAGAACCUUACCUGGGCUUGACAUCCGGUGCUAUCCCGUGAAAGCGGGAGUUCCUUCGGGACGCCGAGACAGGUGCUGCAUGGCUGUCGUCAGCUCGUGUCGUGAGAUGUUGGGUUAAGUCCCGCAACGAGCGCAACCCUUGCCAUUAGUUGCCAGCAUUAAGUUGGGCACUCUAAUGGGACCGCUUGCCGAUAAGGCAGAGGAAGGUGGGGAUGACGUCAAGUCCGCAUGGCUCUUACGCCCAGGGCUACACACGUACUACAAUGGCCAGUACAAUGCGCUGCGGAGCCGCGAGUGGAGCAAAUCGAGGAAAACUGGUCUCAGUUCGAAUUGGAGUCUGC